rnacentral:rRNA from 1 species
CCUACGGGAGGCAGCAGUAGGGAAUAUUGCUCAAUGGGGGAAAGCCUGAAGCAGCAACGCCGCGUGGAGGAUGAAGGUUUUAGGAUUGUAAACUCCCUUUGUUAGAGAAGGUUAUGACGGUCUCUAACGAAUACGCACCGGCUAACUCCGUGCCAGCAGCCGCGGUAAUACGGAGGGUGCAAGCGUUAUUCGGAAUUACUGGGCGUAAAGAGGGCGUAGGCGGGGUAAUAAGUGAGAUGUGAAAUUCUGUAGCUUAACUACAGAACUGCAUUUGAAACUGUUACUCUGGAGUGUGGGAGAGGUAGGUGGAAUUCGUGGUGUAGGGGUGAAAUGCGUAGAGAUCAAACAGAAUACUGAUUGCGAAGGCGGCCUACUGGAACAUUACUGACGCUGAUGCACGAAAGCGUGGGGAGCAAACAGGAUUAGAUACCCGAGUAGUC